UAAGUACUUCCUUCGUUCAAAAAAGUUUGUCUCUCGAAUGAAUGUAUGUAGUAUCAAGUUAGUGCUAGAUACAUUUAUUUAAAGAACAAGUUUAGGACAAAUUUUUUCGGACGAAGAAAGUAUCAA
rnacentral:pre_miRNA from 1 species